GACAAUGUAGACUAACGGUGAAGUUAGCAGACUCAUGUUCUGUUGAUCCAGUGUUCGAUUCCUGGCUUUGUCC
rnacentral:tRNA from 1 species